rnacentral:rRNA from 1 species
UACGUAGGUCCCGAGCGUUAUCCGGAUUUAUUGGGCGUAAAGCGAGCGCAGGUGGUUUAUUAAGUCUGGUGUAAAAGGCAGUGGCUCAACCAUUGUAUGCAUUGGAAACUGGUAGACUUGAGUGCAGGAGAGGAGAGUGGAAUUCCAUGUGUAGCGGUGAAAUGCGUAGAUAUAUGGAGGAACACCGGUGGCGAAAGCGGCUCCCUGGCCUGUAACUGACACUGAGGCUCGAAAGCGUGGGGAGCAAACAGG